GAAUGGGGAAACCCAGUGUGAUUCGUCACACUAUCAUUAACUGAAUCCAUAGGUUAAUGAGGCGAACCGGGGGAACUGAAACAUCUAAGUACCCCGAGGAAAAGAAAUCAACCGAGAUUCCCCCAGUAGCGGCGAGCGAACGGGGAGCAGCCCAGAGCCUGAAUCAGUGUGUGUGUUAGUGGAAGCGUCUGGAAAGGCGCGCGAUACAGGGUGACAGCCCCGUACACAAAAAUGCACAUACUGUGAGCUCGAUGAGUAGGGCGGGACACGUGGUAUCCUGUCUGAAUAUGGGGGGACCAUCCUCCAAGGCUAAAUACUCCUGACUGACCGAUAGUGAACCAGUACCGUGAGGGAAAGGCGAAAAGAACCCCGGCGAGGGGAGUGAAAAAGAACCUGAAACCGUGUACGUACAAGCAGUGGGAGCACAGAGCAAUCUGUGUGACUGCGUACCUUUUG
rnacentral:rRNA from 1 species